rnacentral:rRNA from 1 species
AUGGAUAAACGAAGGCUUAACUGUCUCAACUAUAGAAAUAAAAAUUGGCCUUUAGGUGAAAAGACCUAAAUAAAAUUAGAGGACAAAAAGACCCCGUAGAGCUUAGUAUUUUAACAACUUCAUUUUUUGUAUUCUUCUAUAAAAAACACUUUUGCUAAAAAUAUUUGGCUGGGGCGGCUAUGGAGCAAAAAACCUCCACAAACAAACUAAGAUUCACCCAUCUUUAAAUAUUAAAUGAUCCUUAUCUAGAUCAAAGAAAACAGCUACCUCGGGGAUAACAGAUUAAUCCCUUUUGAGAGUUCACAUUGACAAAGGAUUUUGAUACCUCGAUGUUGGCUUAAGGUCCCCGGAGGGUCAGCAGCAGCCCUCUA